UACAGAUUACGUAAUAAAAUUGGAUAUACAGCAUAUCAUAGACAAUUCGUGGAUGCCGUUACUGUCAUAGAGACAUGAGGCAGUAUUGUCUAUUGCAUUGGCAUCAUGUGUAUGUUUUCGUUCGUAAGUGAGGAAAAUUGGUAUCGAAGUGUCUCGAAAACACUAUUCUUUUCUAGAGAGUUCUAGUUAUCUUAAAUUCAAUGGACGCAGGAAGGUGAACUAUCGACGGAUGGAUGGAUUGAAUGGUAGCGAAUUAUGGCUGGUCAGGAGUUGCUUUGGGCAAAUUGGAUUGAUCCGUGUGCUCCUUUUAAUAGCGCUCCACCUCAAUCCACCACUUGGAAUUAUUGCAAUCGUGACAGUGCGUCUCCAGACAUCAUUUCUGUGAAGUGCUAUCCAGUUUUUGAACUAACUCUUGCGGUACAUAAUUUUCUCUGAACUCUUUGAUACAUCAUGAAGUUUGAAAAACUCCAUUGCUUCAGCAGAAGCUUGGCCGUGCCUUUAGCAAGACCACUCAUCAUCAGGACUUCAAGACUCUGGGCUGACAUAAAUAAAGGCGGUAAUGUUGUUUUUUAAUAUUUUUAUUUUCAAUUGUGUUUUCGAUGUAAACUUCACUGUCGGAUAUUACGUGAUAAACAGACACUAGAGGAUGAGGUAUUUUUUUUUUUUAAUAAAUUGCGUUUUUUAGAAAUUAUAUUUAAGUACGAAUUACAUAUUGAUAUUAUAUUA